rnacentral:tRNA from 1 species
GGAGAUGUAAGUCAGUGUUAGAGCAUGUGCUUGGCAUGCACGAGAUCCUGAGUUCAAUCCCCAGUGCCUCCG